GGGAAAGAACCAACAGGGAUUGCCCCAGUAACGGCGAGUGAAGCGGCAGGAGCUCAAAUUUGAAAUCUGGGGUCCCCCGACCCCCGAGUUGUAAUUUGGAGAGGCAUCUUCGGGGGGGAGCGCUGGCCCAUGUUCCUUGGAACAGGACGUCGCAGAGGGUGAGAAUCCCGUGCCAGGCCGGCUGCCUCCUCCCAGGUGGAGGGCCUUCGACGAGUCGAGUUGUUUGGGAAUGCAGCUCCAAGUGGGUGGUAAAUUUCAUCUAAAGCUAAAUACCGGCGGGAGACCGAUAGCGCACAAGUAGAGUGAUCGAAAGAUGAAAAGCACUUUGAAAAUAGAGUCAAAAAGUACGUGAAAUUGUUGAAAGGGAAGCGCUUGAGACCAGACUCAGACCCGAGCAAACACCGCGCCCCUCGGGGCCGUGCAAUUGCCUGGGGCUGGGCCAGCAUCAGUUGGCGUGGCGGGACAAAGGCGCGGGGAAUGUGGCUCCCCUCGGGGAGUGUUAUUAGGCCCGCGCUCAAUGCCGCCGCCGCCGACUGAGGACCGCGCCUCGGCUAGGAUGCUGGCAUAAUGGCCUUCAGCGACCCGUCUUGAAACACGGACCAAGGAGUCUAACAUCUAUGCGAGUGUUUGGGCGUCAAACCCUUGCGCGGAAUGAAAGUGAGCGGAGGUGGGAACCCCUUCGCAGGGCGCACCAUCGACCGAUCCUGAUGUCUUCGGAUGGAUUUGAGUAGG
rnacentral:rRNA from 1 species